CCGUAGAGUUUGAUCCUGGCUCAGAUUGAACGCUGGCGGCAGGCUUAACACAUGCAAGUCGAGCGGAGAGAGGUAGCUUGCUACUGAUCUUAGCGGCGGACGGGUGAGUAAUGCUUAGGAAUCUGCCUAUUAGUGGGGGACAACAUUUCGAAAGGAAUGCUAAUACCGCAUACGUCCUACGGGAGAAAGCAGGGGAUCUUCGGACCUUGCGCUAAUAGAUGAGCCUAAGUCGGAUUAGCUAGUUGGUGGGGUAAAGGCCUACCAAGGCGACGAUCUGUAGCGGGUCUGAGAGGAUGAUCCGCCACACUGGGACUGAGACACGGCCCAGACUCCUACGGGAGGCAGCAGUGGGGAAUAUUGGACAAUGGGCGCAAGCCUGAUCCAGCCAUGCCGCGUGUGUGAAGAAGGCCUUAUGGUUGUAAAGCACUUUAAGCGAGGAGGAGGCUACUUUAGUUAAUACCUAGAGAUAGUGGACGUUACUCGCAGAAUAAGCACCGGCUAACUCUGUGCCAGCAGCCGCGGUAAUACAGAGGGUGCAAGCGUUAAUCGGAUUUACUGGGCGUAAAGCGCGCGUAGGCGGCUAAUUAAGUCAAAUGUGAAAUCCCCGAGCUUAACUUGGGAAUUGCAUUCGAUACUGGUUAGCUAGAGUGUGGGAGAGGAUGGUAGAAUUCCAGGUGUAGCGGUGAAAUGCGUAGAGAUCUGGAGGAAUACCGAUGGCGAAGGCAGCCAUCUGGCCUAACACUGACGCUGAGGUGCGAAAGCAUGGGGAGCAAACAGGAUUAGAUACCCUGGUAGUCCAUGCCGUAAACGAUGUCUACUAGCCGUUGGGGCCUUUGAGGCUUUAGUGGCGCAGCUAACGCGAUAAGUAGACCGCCUUGGAGACCCCAUA
rnacentral:rRNA from 1 species